rnacentral:rRNA from 1 species
CAUAUCAUAGCGGAGGAAAAGAACCAACAGGGAUUGCCCCAGUAACGGCGAGUGAAGCGGCAAAAGCUCAAAUUUGAAAUCUGGCCUCCUACGGGGGUCCGAGUUGUAAUUUGUAGAGGAUGCUUCGGGUGCGGCCGCCGUCUAAGUUCCUUGGAACAGGACGUCAGAGAGGGUGAGAAUCCCGUCUUGGGCGGCCGGUCCGCGCCCGUGUGAAGCUCCUUCGAAGAGUCGAGUUGUUUGGGAAUGCAGCUCUAAGCGGGUGGUAAAUUUCAUCUAAAGCUAAAUACUGGUCGGAGACCGAUAGCGCACAAGUAGAGUGAUCGAAAGGUUAAAAGCACCUUGAAAAGGGAGUUAAACAGCACGUGAAAUUGUUGAAAGGGAAGCGCUUGCGGCCAGACUCGGGGGCGGGGUUCAGCGGGCGCUCGUCGCCCGUGCACUCCCCGUCUCCCGGGCCAGCAUCAGUUUCGACGGCCGGUCAAAGGCCCCCGGAAUGUGUCGUCUCUCGGGACGUCUUAUAGCCGGGGGUGCAAUGCGGCCCGUCGGGACUGAGGAACGCGCUUCGGCUCGGAUGCUGGCGUAAUGGCCGUAAGCGGCCCGUCUUGAAACACGGACCAAGGAGUCUAACAUCCACGCGAGUGUUCGGGUGUCAAACCCGUGCGCGCAGUGAAAGCGAACGGAGGUGGGAGCCUUAGGGCGCACCAUCGACCGAUCCUGAAGUCUUCGGAUGGAUUUGAGUAGGAGCGUGGCCGUUGGGACCCGAAAGAUGGUGAACUAUGCCUGAAUAGGGUGAAGCCAGAGGAAACUCUGGUGGAGGCUCGCAGCGGUUCUGACGUGCAAAUCGAUCGUCAAAUUUGGGCAUAGGGGCGAAAGACUAAUCGAUCAUCUAGUAGCUGGUCUGC